rnacentral:lncRNA from 1 species
GCCUCAGGAGAAGGACCUCAGUUGGACACAGUGAAAUGCUGCAUUUGCAAUAGCCAUGGAGCCCCUUGUUGGAACAGAUAUAAGAAUCAGUCAUGUCUUUGUCUUGGAGCUCGGCACCUCUUCUGGAGGAGUCCCCUGAUGUGAGAGGGAGACGGCUGAAUGUGUGUUAAAAGGUCCAGGGGACAGAAACUUAGUGAUCCACAGCAUUCAUCUGAUGCUGUCCAAAGUUGUCGAGCAACCUCAGGAAAUGAGUGGAAAUUUGAUUCUUGUUUGGCUAUCUUGGGUCCUGAAAGUGGGAUGGUGGCUGCAAGAGGGUUGAUGUACACAUCUGUGCACUCUGUGGCAGUGCUUUGAAGCUCUGUGUUGUAGCCUGUGUUUUUUUUUAUGAUGCAGUCAUGUGCAUUUUUAAGACCAAGAAUUGGACACCUGUGUGCUUAAAGUUAAGCAUGACCGUGACUCAUUCAGCUGUCACUCUUACGGAUGUAGUGUGAGAACCAUAUGGAUGGGAAGAAGUAACCUAGACCCAAGAUGCAAGUUCAGGGAUUGCAAGACAGGAGGCCAAACACCGAAACAGCAUCUGACAAAAAUUUCUCCCAGGGGUGAACAGGCUGCAGGAGAAGUGGAAAUUGCCACUCCUAUUUUGCUAGGUUUAUUUUUGAGAAGACCUUAUAUAAAGACACUGCCUUCAAGAAGAAACAUUGGAAUUUUAGGGCUAUUUGAAACAGUGUAUAAGCAUAUGUUGUAUGUCAUGACUAUGCUGCCUAACAUGCAGUUGGAUGAAAAGCACUUGAAGUAUCUUUGGACCGAACCCACAAUAAAGCUCUCCAAUACUUCAGUGGACGUAGUGCAUGUGAACCUAUUUCAGAAUGAAGCCCAUAAUCCUGGACCUCUUUUCAUGGGAGGCUGAAUAUAUGAAGAUCUACCAGGGCUUAUCUUGGCUGCAUGUUUUGCAUUCAUUUUGCAUACAUACCACUGGAGCAAACUAUAUGCCUGAAACCACACUGUGUGUCCUGCAAUGUGGGCCAGAGAAGCACUUAGAAAAGCUGGGAGAGGACAAAAGGCCUGUAUAAAGGGAG